rnacentral:rRNA from 1 species
CCCCUAGAUGUUCUGGGCCGCACGCGCGCUACACUGACCAGUGCAACAAGCAUCCGUCCUUGGCCGACAGGCCCGGGCAAUCUUUGAACGCUGGUCGUGAUGGGGAUAGACUUUUGCAAUUUUUGGUCUUCAACGAGGAAUUCCUAGUAAACGCAAGUCAUCAACUUGCAUUGAUUACGUCCCUGCCCUUUGUACACACCGCCCGUCGCACCUACCGAUUGAAUGGUCCGGUGAAGCCUCCGGAUUGGCGCGCACCUCGGUGCCGCCGAGAAGUUGGCUAAACCUUACCAUUUAGAGGAAGGUGAANUCGUAACA